rnacentral:rRNA from 1 species
AACGAACGCUGGCGGCAUGCCUAACACAUGCAAGUCGAACGAGACCUUCGGGUCUAGGGGCGCACGGGUGCGUAACGCGUGGGAACCUGCCCUUAGGUUCGGAAUAACUCCCCGAAAGGGGUGCUAAUACCGGAUAAUGUCUUCGGACCAAAGAUUUAUCGCCUUUGGAUGGGCCCGCGUUGGAUUAGCUAGUUGGUAGGGUAAAAGCCUACCAAGGCGACGAUCCAUAGCUGGUCUGAGAGGAUGAUCAGCCACACUGGGACUGAGACGCGGCCCAGACUCCUACGGGAGGCAGCAGUGGGGAAUAUUGGACAAUGGGCGAAAGCCUGAUCCAGCAAUGCCGCGUGAGUGAUGAAGGCCUUAGGGUUGUAAAGCUCUUUUACCCGGGAUGAUAAUGACAGUACCGGGAGAAUAAGCUCCGGCUAACUCCGUG